UCCGAGUUGGGCGGACGAAGUUGGCCAGCCCCACCCCCCAAGGCUAUAGCCCACCCGUUUUUGCGGCCUUUUUCCGCUGGACGAACUUGGCGCCCCGGCCUUCGGGCGGUUAUUUUUGGGUGCGUCUUUGCCCGUGGCCUAUUUGUGGCACACGGAGGCCCCUCGCAAAAUCUCGCGGCGUUCCGAGUCCGGCGGACGAAGUGGGCCAGCCCCACCCCCCAAGGCUAUAGCCCACCCGUUUUUGUGGCCUUUUUCCGCUGGACGAACUUGGCGCCCCGGCCUUCGGGCGGUUAUUUUUGGGCGCGGCUUUGUCCGCGGCCUAUUUUUGGCACACGGAGGCACCUCUCAAAGUCUCGCGGCAUUCCGAGUUGGGCGGACGAAGUUGGCCAGCCCCACCCCCCAAGGCUAUAGCCCACCCGUUUUUGCGGCCUUUUUCCGCUGGACGAACUUGGCGCCCCGGCCUUCGGGCGGUUAUUUUAGGGCACGGCUUUGCCCGCGGCCUAUUUUUGGCACACGGAGGCCCCUCGCAAAGUCUCGCGCCAUUCCGAGUCCGGCGGACGAAGUUGGCCAGCCCCACCCUCCAAGGCUAUAGCCUACCCGUUUUUGUGGCCUUUUUCCGCUGGACGAAUUUGGCGCCCCGGCCUUCGGGCGGUUAUUUUUGGCACACGGAGGCCCCUCGCAAAAUCUCACGGCAUUCCGAGUCCGGCGGACAAAGUGGGCCAGCCCCACCCCCAAGGCUAUAGCCCACCCGUUUUUGUGGCCUUUUUCCGCUGAACGACCUUGGCGCCCCGGCCUUCGGGCUGUUAUUUUUGGGCACGGCUUUCCCCGCGGCCUAUUUUUGGCACACGGAGGCCCCUCGCAAAGUCUCGCGCCAUUCCGAGUCCGGCGGACGACGUGGGCCAGCCCCACCCCCGAAGGCUAUAGCCCACCCAUUUUUGUGGCCUUUUUCAGCUGGAUGAACUUGGCGCCCCGGCCUUCGGGCGGUUAUUUUUAGGCGCGGCUUUGCCCGUGGCUUAUUUUUGGCACACAUAGCCACCUCGCAAAGUCUCACACCAUUCCGAGUACUGCGCACGAAGUUGGCCAGCCCCACCCUCCAAGGCUAUAGCCCACCCGUUUUUGUGGCCUUUUUCUGCUGGACGAACUUGGCGCCCCGGCCUUCGGGCUGUUAUUUUUGGGCGAGGCUUUGCCCGCGGCCUAUUUUUGGCACACGGAGGCCCCUCGCAAAGUCUCGCGCCAUUCCGAGCCCGGCGGACGAAGUUGGCCAGCCCCACCGCCCAAGGCUAUAGCCCACCCGUUUUUGUGGCCUUUUUCCGCUGGACGAACUUGGCGCCCCGGCCUUCGNN
rnacentral:lncRNA from 1 species